ACCAGAGGACCAAUCAGGAAACAAAAUACUUUCAAAUCUGGGUGGAGGAAGUUUUGUUGUUGGGUCUUUGUUCUUGGGUCUUCUGCUUGUACUCU